rnacentral:rRNA from 1 species
UACGGAGGGGGCGAGCGUUGUCCGAAGUUACUGGGCGUAAAGCGCGCGUAGGCGGGUUGGUAAGUCCGCUGUGAAAGCCCAGAGCUUAACUCCGGAGGGUCGGUGGAUACUGCCAGUCUUGAAGGUGCUAGGGGGAGAUGGAAUUACCGGUGUAGCGGUGAAAUGCGUAGAUAUCGGUAGGAACACCAGUGGCGAAGGCGGUCUCCUGGGGCAUUCUUGACGCUGAGGCGCGAAAGCUGGGGGAGCAAACAGG